CUUCAGAAGUCGAGGCUUCUGCUUGAUUAGAGGUUUUCACCUCUCUUUGCAGCAAGAGGAAGAAGAGCAGCAGAAGAUAAAGUCUUCUCUCUACUCCAUGCCGCUGUUCCAUUGCUAAGGUAUGCAGCUGAGGAUCGUGCAAAAGUGUAGAUAUUGGAGUGAAGAGACACAUUCAAAAGCAGCAACACAGUGGAAGAAUGUUGAGGAAAGAGCUGGAAAACUGGGAACCUGGUUUGUCUCCAUCAUGUAUUAAUGAGAAGAUUCUGGCCUUUCUGUGUCUUGAUUUUCUCAACUAUAAAAUGCUAUUUCAUCCAAAGAACAUUAAGUAUCUCCCAAGUGCAAAGGAUUCACUGUUCUAGGUACUGGGGCACUGGCAUAAGAGGAAAAGCAAGGCAAUCUAAUGGGAAGACAAAAAAGUAAAUCAAUGAUCACAGGACUUAAGAGGUUUAAGCAGAACCUCUAUCUUCAUCUACCUUUCAUGCUUCCUUUACUUAUUAAUGAGAAAAUCAACCCAGAAUGAGUUAAAUUACUUGCCAUUGUCACAAAGGAAUAAUGUUCGUUUUCACAACAUCCUAGCUUCAAGUGUGAUCAUCAGAGGCAUUCAAAGAUAUGAAAUACAGGUUUUUCUUUCUUUGAGAAGUAGUAUUCCUAAAAAGUCAUUGAAAAUUUUAAAAAAAUCUAUUUUUAGUUGAGUAAAACAAAUUGCUAUUAAAAGAUUUCUACUCCCUGUGUUUUGUCCUGAAUUUGAUUUGUUUAAAGAAUGAGGUACAUCUAAAUUCUCCAGACAGUCCCUGAAGGCCAUUAUAAAUCCCAGUGCUGUUUCUGUCAGAAAUCUUAUAGGAGGGGUACGGGGCAGUUAGAACAGUAUAGAAAAGAUACUUAUGGAUUACGAUUCAGAAUAAAAGUAUGACGCAACAAUAGCCACCUUACUGAGUGUUUGUUAUACAUCAGACCCUUUCCACAUAUUAGCUCAUUGUAACCUCCCAACAUUUUAUCCCCAUUUACACCUGAGGAUAUUGAAGAUGAGUGGUGAAGUGACUUGCCUAGGUUCACAACAAGAGACUCUGGAUGAGCUGUUGAUUCGAGAUGCAAACUCUGGUACAUAAUGAUCUUUCCAGGAUAGGAUGCACUGUGGAGGGCAGAGAGGGUCAAACCCCAGUAAUUCUGUCCAUAAGCAGUUGUUAACUGUGCAAGUUACUGUGAGAGAGACCACGGAGCCAUAUAUGAAAAGCACUGGAAUUUGAAAACAAAGUUAUCUGCUCUGAACUUCACCUCUUCCCCUUAAGAACUUUCAAACCCAUCUCCAGCAAGAGAACAGACUGACAAUACCCUGCAUCUCCUCACAAAAACGCAAAAAUCAGUAUCUUCCUUCACAGAAACAUAAAACUUUUGAAGACUGAGGAAAAUCUAAUCUAAUAAAGCUGAUGGAUGAGCUUUCCUCUGCCACAAGAACACACCACCAGAACUGUUGUCUCCAAGAGCACACAGUCUUGGCUACACUGCAGGAACCAGGAGAUUGCCACUGAAACUGUUAGCUCCAAGUACGUGAUAGAACUCCUAGAUCAGCACAGCACCUCUGAUACCUUCAUUUCAAAGGCAAAAGAGAGCAAGUGACAGGCAAAGAACAUGGCCGACCUCCCCAAUUUUCGCAUACUGAAGGGAUGAAAAAAGAUACUGCUGGAAUUCGUUUUAAAAUACAUAAGCAAAGAAAAUACUUUAAGUAACAUAUGAAAUAAACUGGCAAACUCUUUUGACUAUUACUGAAUCUGAGGGGUACUAGCUUUGGGGAUUUUCUCAGUUUCAUUCUCUCCUGGUUGCAAAACAUCAUUGGUGCUGUUCCCCCUGCCUCGAACACCUUUCCCAUCAGUUUACAUCUGGCUUCUCCGCCUACCCAUCUUGUCUUCAACGUCACUUCCUCAGACAGCUCCCUGAGCUAUGACACAUCCUUCCACCAAAGGCAACUGGUAUUUCUCCUUUGCAACACGCCACAUUAAUGAAACUACUUAACUGUCUAUAACUACUUGCUUGUUUGUGAGGGAGAGCAGAUGCUUGAGAAAUAUUUGAUAGCUGAUUGAACGGAGCUGCUGAUGUGACUAUUCCUCCUUCAUCCUGAUGAAAAAGUGAUCCAGCCAUUUUGCAAGUGUUGAGACUUUGAUCCAUAUGUUCUAUUCCUCCAAGGCUCUCCCACUAAAAUAAUCUUCAUUUUCCAAUUGAAGUAAAAGGAAGAAUCACCAGAGCAUUCAGAGUGCUUCCCUGAGCACUCUGCUCUUCCAUCGAUCACCUUCUCUGCUGCUUCAUCUAACUCGGCUAUGUGUCUCCUUCUGGAUAUCCUUUGGACGUCCCAGCAUGGUAAGACUGAACUCGUACCCCCACCAACCUCCCUGAAGGCACCACGGACCACUCAUCUCCUAGGUCAAGACUCAGGAGGAUCAGCUCUUGAUAUCUGUGUAAAAGGCCUAAUAUUCAAGACUGUGAGCUUCUAAAGCUCAGGGACCUGUCUCACUCAGCACUACAUCUCCAGUCCCUGGCAGAACUUAGAAGAGAAUAUGUGUUGGCUGAGUUUAAUUGAACAUCGGGCGGCAACGAUACUUCUUCAUCUGGACAAAGAACUUCUUGGCCCUUCAAAGUGCUCUAUUAGAAUAUUUUCCCAAUCCCAAGCUCGCAUUAAUUAAUCUGCUUAUUCACUGAAUGCUUAACCUAAGCCAGGCAGUGUGUUGCGUCCUGGGAGUGGUAGACAAAAUAGAUAUGGCUCUACCCCUCGUGCAAGCCCCCCCUUUUUCAAACUCACUCAAAUUACUCAUUCCUGUUACUUUACUAUAAAAUAGUAUUCUUGCCUCCAGGAUAACUUCUCAAUUCAGAAGACCAUGUAUAAAAGCAAUUCAGUGCAGAGCAUGCUUCAGCUGAGAAAUCUAUAAAGAAACAUUCUAUCUAGACCUCUGUGUCCCUGGGAAAGAGUACUCUUUCUUUUCAUAUAUGUACAUGUAUUUCUACGUACAUGCACAUUCCUAUGCCAAAUGUAUGCCUAUAUCAUAAAUGUGCAACAUGUAAUUAAGGCCUACAGAAGAAUAGAAAGAUCCCCUGGCCCUUCAAAUUUAUACCCGCCUGCUUAAAACCAGAGCAUGGUUUGUACCUUUUAACAUAAUGGCUUAUGGUUUUUUUAAGUUCACAUCUCUUAGUGUUGGUUCUUUGUUUCUUUUAACUCCAUUGUGAAGGCCCCACAAGUGUAUUUGUGUCCUGAAACCGAAAGACAGAUAACUGUUCCAAACUUGAAAAUAAAGAAACACAAAAUUAAUUAAUACCAAACAAUGCAAAAAGCUUUCAGACAUUUUCUAGUACCAGAAUAGUGCUAAACAAAGUAAGCACUAAAUAAAUAUUUUAUGAAUAACUGAAUACAUGAAUGAAAGAACAAAUACAUGCAAUUAUGGGUUUCUUCAUCAGGGCAAGCCAGUGGAAGAGGUUAUGGCUUUACAAGACAAAGACAGUUCAAAACCAUGCCUUGACCCAGAUGGUGGAAAGAACUCUAUCUAGAUGAUAAAAACAAAACCAAAAGACGUCAAACCUUACAGCUGUGCUUUAAAUUCUUUGGGUUCUCAACCCUUAGGGCAAUGAUGUACAUUUUGAUGGGUACAGUAUCCC